rnacentral:lncRNA from 1 species
CUCAUCAACAAAGGACAAACAACACACAAACCUUUCUAUGUUGUCCCAAAGAUACAUCAGAGCAAGCACAGAAAUUUACUAAAGGCGAAUUUUCAAAAUUAAUGCUGGAUAGAAGCAAUAUGCAUCUCGAUAUUUUGAAAUAUAUUCCAAAUUGUUCAAAAACAUAAAAUUAAUGCCAAAAGUAGGAGAUCCCGCGAAUAGUUGUGAGGACUAUACUGAUAAAACUAGGAAUUUUACCGAGGAGCAAAGAUCAUCACUCCUAAAAUAUUUAUGUGACAAUUUUCAUCAAAUCACCUUGCAACACCCUGAUGUACCAAGUCUAAUUCAUGUCACUAUUACAUGCAUUUUGAUACACAGACCAUCCAACUUUGAUUCAGGUUUGUCUGUUUUUGCUUCUCUUUUAUUUCUGUCAGAAGAAUAUUGACUUUGAAAUGUUGCUUAGUUUACAUGUAUUAGUUUAUGUUUAGGUUUGUUUAUAGGCAACUACUUGUGAUAAGUCAAUGGGAUUUGGUAAGUAGUUGUAUUAGCAUUGGCACAUCUCUUUUCCAUGGAUAUUAUUUAGGCCAUGUUCCUUCAGUCAUGCGUGGAUAAUUGUCUUUCAAUAUUUGCCACACUGACAUGUUAAAGUGUAGCUAUUUUAAUUUCAACAUUUGCCAAAAUCAAUUCUAAUGAUUUGCUGUUCGACAAAUGUUCCAUUUCAUUUGUAAAAACUAUAAUUUCAAGAAAAUGAAAACAGCGUGUGCAUAUUUGUAAUCAUUAAAUAGCAAAAAAUAUAAUCAUUGAUACACAAAAUAUUACAGCUGAGUGAUUCAGGCUUUUCAAAUCCAAAACCUUGUCAUAUCUGAUUGAAUAAUCUCAUUUACCUUAGAAUACUUUUGAUCUUUUAGACAAAGAAUAUAAAUCCUUGUAACAUAUGCAUGAAGGUCAAACUAUAGAUGCAUAAAAUAAAAGAUGCUGUUAAAAAAAUCAGCUGAAAUUUUUUUGAAAGUUCACCUUGAUAGACAAAGGUGCUGUUAUUCAACUGAACAUUGAACUUGAAUCCCUUGAACCAAAUCUUAUAUGAUACACUUCACAUUACUUUUGUUAGUUUAAUUGUUUAAGUUUAUAAAUGUCUCUUAAUUGUACUACAUUUGACAAAAAAAAAAAAGCUAUUUCAAAAAUGUUGCUAUACUGAUAACAAAAUGGAUGUCGAGUUUAAUAGAGACGAUUUUUACUUUAACAGUUCAGGAGUUAUGGUAUUUGUGAUAUUGAAAAUGCUAGGACACAAAUAAUUGUUAAAAAAUUGCUUUGCUGUCACUCUGAAAGCCUCUUGUCUUUUUUUGUUUCGUUUUCCAAUGAGAAUACCAUACAAUAAACUAUAAAUAAGACAACGUGGCGGAGCCUCUAGUUUAAUUUGUUUACACAUGACAUUUGCGAUUUUCCUCUCAAAUAUUUUGUUAUAUAUGUACUUUAGCAAUAUAUUUGUAUGCCUCAAUCAAUUUUGUAGUACAUUCCUUUUACUCCACUUUCUUUAUAACUACAGCAUUCAAACCCAACUAAAUGCUAGUUUAGAUCCAAUAUAUACCUGAUUGUGAAGCAUAUGCUAAUUUAUUUCAUAGGAGUGAAAGAAGAGACUACUACACGAAGAAAGACGAAGCAUGUAUGAAAUUGACGAAAGUGAUGAGUAUUAUCAUUAUGGAAUGGAUCAGUCAAAGACUAACAUUCCACACUUUAAGGGAUGGACUCACCAAAGGUAUACAGUUGUACAUUAUCAAUUAUCCAAGUAAUAAGAUAUAAGAUGAUCAGUAAGUCACCAUAACAUUUUAAUCAGUUUUUAUUCUGUCAAAAUUUAUCUGGAUUUGAAACUACAAAAUCUCAUAAUUAUGAAUUUAAAUUUGGUUUGAUAAUUGUUAGGUAAAAGGAAAAGAUAAAACAUUGAGUUAUUCACCACAGCGAUUGUUAUGGUCUAUUAUAUUAUAGGAUUAAUCGCCGAAGGACUUUUGUGAUAUGUUUGUAAGUGACUUGGUCCAGUUUAUACACCAAUAAAUUCCUUUAAAAGGCGUCCAAUCUUUAUAAUUCUUUUAAAUUGGAGAUAGGGAAUAUCAUUUUUUUCACACUCGUUACCUCUAUUACACGUAAAUUGUAUUUUGAUGUCAUUGAAUAUGCCUGGCGCAUGAAUAUAUUUGUUGGUUAACGGCCUGGCGCAUGCAUAUAUUAGUUGGUUAACGCAAAAAUAUGUACUCAAUGCAAAUUGAUGUCUGAUAAAAAUAAAACUGCAAAAAACUCUUAUUAUCAUUCAAACGAAAGUUUAUGUGUAAUAUUUUAUUUAACGAUUAACUUGCAGUGAAAAUAAAAAAAAAAUAACGUCGUUGUUAUUAUCACCGCCAUCUUGUUUACAUUGGUUACGUAAAGAAGUUCGGUGCACGUCGUCUAUCGAAAAAUACCACCAAAGUCAAGAUCAACUCGACCAAUCAGAUCAACGUAUUCCCUUAUAUGCAAAUCCUAUAAGAAUUAUUGUACAAUAUUUCUACCAGAUUGCAAAAACAAUGUGUCAAAUCAAACAAUAAUGAUCAUUUGAUAAGGCAUGCAAAAUUUAAAAGUUAUUUACAUAUCUGUAAGAAGUGUGAUGUCUGGAAAGGGUAAUUGUGUCAAAAAUGAUAACACUGAAUUGAUGUUCAUAAUAAUUUUUUAUUAUCAAUUUUUCAAUUGUUUUAAAAUAUAUAUACAAAUGGUACAAAUGAGUAGAUUUCAGAUCAAUAUAUUUGACAAGUUGAAGUUCCAAAAUAUCCAUUUAUGUGGCCGACAUGAGCUAGUUCAUUGACAUUAGAAUAUAGUCCGAUUUGCAGAUUUCCAGAGGUUGAAUUAGCUUCAUUAAUUUAAAAACAACAUAGAAUUUAGUAUUCACUUGAUAUGGAGGAUAAAACAAAUGAACAGAUUGGCUAUACACACCUGUCCCUUAUGUUAUCUUGUUUUUAGCUCUACCUUUUUUUUUAGCUUAUUGUUUAUGUUACAAUCUGGAAAAAAUCAGUAUUGAUGCAAUAUUCUAAAUAUAUAUUUAUAAGUACGUCUGAACCAGUGACAACUCUACAACAGAUUUAUCCAUCGGAUCACCAGCAGUGAUGGUGAUACAUGGCUGUGUACAUAUUGUAUAUACAACUUGUCUAAACAUCAACCCAACAAUGUUAGAUCUGUAAAUAACAUCUUCAUGCCUUAUAUAUCAUGUACUGUAGUACGCUAGAUUAAAACUGACGUGAAAAGGUAACACCCGGCUACUGAAAGCUUCAUUUUAAUGAAGCCCAGGUGGUCGUGUGGUCUAGCGCACCGGUUACAGUGCAGGCGAUUUGGUGUCACGAUAUCUCAAUAGCAUGGGUUCUAAUCCCGACGAGAGAACAACAAACAAUUUACAGAUCUAACAUUGUUUGGCUGAUGUUUAGACGAGUUAUAUAUAUAUAUUAUAUAUAUCUAGAUAUAUGGUUGAAACCUUUACACUUUGUCUUCAACAGUAGUGAUUAAGACUCUUGUUCUACAAAGGAAUCUGGCUUAAGAGUUGUUUUAUGUUCCAUUUAUGGGUAUUAUGUUUUCUGGUCUGUGUUUCUGUGCGUUCGUUCGUCCGUCUGUUCCGCUUCAGGUUAAAUUUUUUGGUUAAUGUAGUUUUUGAUGAAGUUGAAGUCCCACCAACUUGAUACGUAAUACACAUGUUCCUUAUGAUAUUAUCUUUCUACUUGUAAUGCAUUUUAACACUGUGUAUUCAGACAAAUGUCAGAUAAACCAACGCAAAUAUUUUUGAUAGUCUGAUACAAAAAGAUUAAAUAUUUGUUGGCCCAUUUAGAAAAAAAGAUAUGUUCAAUGAUUUCCUGUUAGAUCUAGUUUGCAGACACUAUAAUUGCAAUAACUUUAAAAUGGCAUGUUUAAGUACACAUUCAUACAUUCAAAAAUAAUUUUAAUGAUACUGAUUAACACAAAAUAUUAGUGGUGAGUGAUGUAUGCUCUUGUGAGCCUCUUGUUAUAUAUACCAGUAAUUGCUAUUAGUGCAUUGUAUAAUAGCAAAAUAAUAUGACCAUACUAAACUUAUUGCACAUAACAUGCUUGUAAGUUUAUCUAUGCACAGUCCCAAAAAAUCGGAAGGUCAAAUAGGAUAAGCAUGUAGCAGUACAAUAUAAAUGUAAAAAUUUCUGUUUAAUUUAACCUAUAGUUUUGUCGUCUUGAUCCUUGAAUUCAAAAACAUGUAUAUAAUGCGCUGUUAGGUUUUUUGAGUCACUAGGGAAAGUAGCUUGUUUGUGAUUUGAUUAUUUGUUGCUGGGUUGCUGUCCAUAGACAAAUAUUCCCUUCUUCUAUAUAUAUGUAGAAUAUGUCUUAGUUAUUGAUAAGUUUGUUGUUGUUUAGGCUUAUUUGUCCUUCCUUUUGAAGGGACAUACACAUGAGGACAUUGAUCAACGAUUUUUAGUAAUUUCACACAGAUUACGACGGGUUUAUGCCAUGACUCUUCCUCAGCUACGAAAGGAAAUAGAAUCAAGUUUUCAUGAUAAACCACACCAGA